GAUGAACGCUGGCGGCGUGCCUAAUACAUGCAAGUCGAGCGAACGGACGAGAAGCUUGCUUCUCUGAUGUUAGCGGCGGACGGGUGAGUAACACGUGGAUAACCUACCUAUAAGACUGGGAUAACUUCGGGAAACCGGAGCUAAUACCGGAUGAUAUUUUGAACCGCAUGGUUCAAAAGUGAAAGACGGUCUUGCUGUCACUUAUAGAUGGAUCCGCGCUGCAUUAGCUAGUUGGUAAGGUAACGGCCUACCAAGGCAACGAUGCAUAGCCGACCUGAGAGGGUGAUCGGCCACACUGGAACUGAGACACGGUCCAGACUCCUACGGGAGGCAUCAGUAGGGAAUCUUCCGCAAUGGGCGAAAGCCUGACGGAGCAACGCCGCGUGAGUGAUGAAGGUCUUCGGAUCGUAAAACUCUGUUAUUAGGGAAGAACAUAUGUGUAAGUAACUGUGCACAUCUUGACGGUACCUAAUCAGAAAGCCACGGCUAACUACGUG
rnacentral:rRNA from 1 species